rnacentral:rRNA from 1 species
GACGGAGGAUGCAAGUGUUAUCCGGAAUCACUGGGCGUAAAGCGUCUGUAGGUGGUUUAACAAGUCCACUGUUCAAGGUUGAAGCUUAACUUCAAAAAUGCUGUGGAAACUUUUAAACUAGAGUAUGGUAGGGGUAGAGGGAAUUUCCAGUGGAGCGGUGGAAUGCGUAGAGAUCGGGAGGAACACCGGUGGCGAAGGCGGCCAGCUGGCGCUGACCUGACGCUGAGGCGCGAAGGCGUGGGGAGCGAACGGG